rnacentral:lncRNA from 1 species
CAUGCUGCCGUAAGAUUCUCUCUCAGUUUGCUCCAAUGUCGAAGAGGAAAACAACAAGGCCCUGUAUACAAACUGUGGUGCUUCUAUAUUAGAUACAAAAUAAAGUUCCUCUAAUCCAAUAUCAAUGAUUCAAGUAGUACUGAAUCUUUAAUAUAUGGCCAUUACCAAUGUCAUCUUAAGCUAAAAUAUGUCACUGAGAUGUUUUAUCUUUGAUUACACCUGAUGUUCAGGGAAUAUAGAAAUAGAUGAACCUCUCAAAAAAACAAGCAUAUUCAAAUUUCAUUUAGUUAUCCUAUUUCUUUCCACACAUGCAACUAAUCAUAAUAUCUAUAUCGAUAUUUCCUACAAUUUGGUAAUUCCAAGUAAUAAAAGAACCAAGUGGACAACAGACCUACAAUUAUC